rnacentral:rRNA from 1 species
CCUAACACAUGCAAGUCGAGCGGUAGCACAGAGAGCUUGCUCUCGGGUGACGAGCGGCGGACGGGUGAGUAAUGUCUGGGAAACUGCCUGAUGGAGGGGGAUAACUACUGGAAACGGUAGCUAAUACCGCAUAAUGUCGCAAGACCAAAGUGGGGGACCUUCGGGCCUCGAUGCCAUCAGAUGUGCCCAGAUGGGAUUAGCUAGUAGGUGGGGUAACGGCUCACCUAGGCGACG